rnacentral:pre_miRNA from 1 species
CCCACACCCAUGUGUGUAGGAUCCCAAAUGAUCACCAUUAAAUUCAGCACAGAUCUCUAAAAAAAAUAUCACAUGGGUGUGAGACUUGACUUUUCUAGAGAUCUGUGUCAAAUUUAAUGGUGAUCCUUUGGGGUUCUACACGCAUGGGUGUGGG